AAGUCGUAACAAGGUUUCCGUAGGUGAACCUGCGGAAGGAUCAUUAUAGAGAUUGGUUGGGUAACACCUUCUAAACCUCCCACCCUUUGUUUACAUUACCUUUGUUGCUUUGGCAGGCCCGUCUUUAGACCACCGGCCUUGGCUGGUCAGCGCCUGCCAGAGGACCUAAAACUCUGUUUAAUUGUAUUGUCUGAGUACUAUAUAAUAGUUAAAACUUUCAACAACGGAUCUCUUGGUUCUG
rnacentral:misc_RNA from 1 species